ACCCAGAGGCUGUGGAGCCAGCAGUUGGUCUUGUUUCCUGAUUAACUUCCUUGUAAACUUGAACUUGAGACCUUGACUGACCCGGCAGGUCCCCAGUAGGAACAGGAGGAAGGCAGAGCUCUAAUGUGACCUGAAGUGAGCAGGCGGCACGAAGAGGCACCGUGUCUGGAGACUACUGCCUUCCUGUAACAGUCUGGCAGUGGCUAAAUCUGUAUUCACAUUUAAAUUGAGCAAUUUUAGGGUGUGAUACUCUGAGGCGGUUGAAUUGGGAGAAUGAAGAUAGAGUAAUUUCCCUGUCCAGGAUCAAAAGAAGCCUAGAGAGAAGCAGUAAUCUACCUCUGCCGAUAACCUGUUGGAAGCAACUCAGCAGAACGCCACGUUACUUUUUAUUGGUUAACUCCAUGUGGCUCACUAGGUCACUUUUUUUUUUCCCUGAGCAAAAGGAGGUUUUUUUUUUUAAUGUAAACUUUGACAACAGAAAGGCCCAAGCUCUGUGAGUGCAGUGGAGACUCGGAGAGCCCCGUUUCUAUAAACACAGACACUUGGGGUGUUAAUCAGGAAAUCCAUAUUUAUUUUGUAAUUAAAUGUCACGCCUGUGGAUUGUUUUGAACUUGGUAGUUCCUGAGAGUUUGCGUACAGAGGCCUCUUGAGCACAGCACUGUUGGGAGGGAUCAGCGUCUGCGGCUGCGGAGCCCAGGCCACACCACGUGGCUCAGGUCAUUCUUUUUUCUUUCUGUGCUGGUUGCCACAUUUUAGCAAGCACCAAAAAAGAAAGCAGUUUUUAAACCGAUAUUUACAUAAAGAAAACCACAGAAUCCAGUGCUUCUGCAUACUGUGUUAUGUUGCAGUCCAGUUUUGUGUGCUUUACUACACAGUUUGGUUACAGGACUUCUGUGCAUUGUAAACAUGAGCAGCAUGGAGAGGCUAAAUGCCUGUGUUCAGAUUGUAAGAUCUAGUCCGGACUUGCUGUGUAUAUUGUAACGUUAAAUGAAAAAAGACCCCCUUUGUAUUAUAGUCAUGCGGUCUUAUGUAUGAUAAACAGUUGAAUAAUUUGUCCUCAG
rnacentral:lncRNA from 1 species